rnacentral:rRNA from 1 species
AGCGAACGCUGGCGGCAGGCCUAACACAUGCAAGUCGAACGAACCUUUCGGGGUUAGUGGCGGACGGGUGAGUAACACGUGGGAACGUGCCUUUAGGUUCGGAAUACCUCAGGGAAACUUGUGCUAAUACCGAAUGUGCCCUUCGGGGGAAAGAUUUAUCGCCUUUAGAGCGGCCCGCGUCUGAUUAGCUAGUUGGUUGAGGUAAUGGCUCACCAAGGCGACGAUCAGUAGCUGGUCUGAGAGGCUGAUCAGCCACAUUGGGACUGAGACACGGCCCAAACUCCUACGGGAAGCAGCAGUGGGGAAUCGUGCGCAAUGGGCGAAAGCCUGACGCAGCCAUGCCGCGUGAAUGAUGAAGGUCUUAGGAUUGUAAAAUUCUUUCACCGGGGACGAUAAUGACGGUACCCGGAGAAGAAGCCCCGGCUAACUUCGUG